UAAUCCGCCCGCCUCGGCCUCCCAAAGUGCUUGGAUUACGUGCAUGAGCCACCGUGACCAGCUGACCAUCUCUCAUUAUUAAUAAGAACAUCACAGACAGGAUUCCACAUAUUUAUAAAAUUUCAUGUUAUCUCAAAGGUGGAGCUCCGGUUUCUUGCUGAGCCAGGAAUCACCUAUUACUAUCUGAUUUGCGGGGGACACAAAGAAGGAGGAAAAAUCACCAGGGUGAAGGAAGGCAUGAAGAGAAGACUUUUUCAGAAAAAAAGUAUUCCUGACAUUUAUUCUUUUCUUAAAUCCUCUAUCCUCUUGGACCCUGAAGACAUCGUCAGCAUUUGGAUUUUAUUCAUGACAGAUACAUGUCUCUUUAAAAAGUGUGGAUUUAUCUCCUGAAUAUUAGUUUCUCAAUGAUUUAUCCACCACAUUUUCAUAACUUGUGUGAGGGAUCAGUACCACCUUCCAGCGGUAGAUCUUAUUUUUGCCGCUCAAUUUUUGCUCUGUUCUCUUUCUAGUAAGGGCUUUAUCCUGAAUCAUUUAUUGACAUGCGGCCUAUAGAGACCUCCUUAAAGAGGUACUACAUUAUUGUCCCAUUGAUUUAGGGCCUGGCCACAUUUCAAGCUUUAGCCAAUGGAAUGUGAGGGAAUAUAGCGUAUAGAAACAUCUGAGAAGAAAAAGAAAAACUUCAGAAGGCAUCAAGUGUUUCUGACAGGUCUGUCUUGCUAGAUGUCCCAAAUAAGGACCACUUCUUGAAGAGGCUGGAAUCUGGUGUGAGAAGACAAGGGGAACAGAGCCACAGAAGUUGAUCCACAGCCAUGGAUAUCUGUCUGGAACAAUAAAUCAAUGUCAGUUGUAGCCACUGUCAUUUGGGGGGUUGUUUGUUAUUAAUAAAGCCAACUAAUAAAAUUCAUAACUAGAUUAGAAAACAAUCAAGAUGAAACAUUUUAACAAAAAAUUUGAAUUGCAAAUUUGAAUGCAUCUUAAAUGACGUCGAGUAAAAAAGUUUGCCGCUUGAACAGAAAUAAAAAUUUUAAAUUUAUUAAAAUUCACAUUAAUAAAAAAUAAGAAUACUCUGCA
rnacentral:lncRNA from 1 species